rnacentral:rRNA from 1 species
AGUGAACGCUGGCGGUAGGCCUAACACAUGCAAGUCGAACGGCAGCACAGUAAGAGCUUGCUCUUACGGGUGGCGAGUGGCGGACGGGGGAGGAAUACAUCGGAAUCUACUUGUUCGUGGGGGAUAACGUAGGGAAACUUACGCUAAUACCGCAUACGACCUACGGGAGAAAGCAGGGGAUGUUCGGACCGUGCGCGAGGGAAUGAGCCGAUGUCGGAGUAGCUAGUUGGCGGGGUGAAGGCCUAACAAGGCGACGAUCCGUAGCUGGUCUGAGAGGAUGAUCAGCCACAUUGGAGCUGAGACACGGUCCCGACUCCUCCGGGAGGCAGCCGUGGGGACUAUUGGACAAUGGGCGCAAGCCUGCUCCAGCCAUACCGCGUGGGUGACGAAGGCCUUCGGGUUGUAAAGCCCUUUUGUUGGGAUAGAAAACCAGCAGGUUAAUACCCCGCUGUUCUGACGGUACCCAAAGAAUAAGCACCGGCUAACUUCGUG